UGGACAGAUUAUUGUAUUCGAUUGUAUUCACGGCGAGAAAUAGGGGAUUCCACUAUUUUUAAAACGGAAAGUGAAUCAAUUAACAUAAUAGACUCCU
rnacentral:pre_miRNA from 1 species